UACAGAGGGGGCAAGCGUUGUUCGGAAUUAUUGGGCGUACAGGGCGCGUAGGCGGCCUGUUAAGUCGACCGUGAAAUCCCCGGGCUCAACCCGGGAACUGCGUCCGAUACUGGCAGGCUUGAAUCCGGGAGAGGGAUGCGGAAUUCCAGGUGUAGCGGUGAAAUGCGUAGAUAUCUGGAGGAACACCGGUGGCGAAGGCGGCAUCCUGGACCGGCAUUGACGCUGAGGCGCGAAAGCCAGGGGAGCAAACGGG
rnacentral:rRNA from 1 species